AAGUCGUAACAAGGUUUCCGUAGGUGAACCUGCGGAAGGAUCAUUAACAAAUCAGUGUGCUGGGACCUUUAGGUACCAGCAUAUAUGCUCUUACACUUUACAGUGUAAUUGCACAUAACAGCAUAUCGUAUCUUGUCACAAUCUUUAGUAAUUUAAAAACACUUUUAACAAUGGAUCUCUUGGCUCUU
rnacentral:misc_RNA from 1 species